GAAUUCACUAGUGAUUCAGGCCUAACACAUGCAAGUCGAGCGGUAGAGAGAAGCUUGCUUCUCUUGAGAGAGGCGGACGGGUGAGUAAUGCCUAGGAAUCUGCCUGGUAGUGGGGGAUAACGUUCGGAAACGGACGCUAAUACCGCAUACGUCCUACGGGAGAAAGCAGGGGACCUUCGGGCCUUGCGCUAUCAGAUGAGCCUAGGUCGGAUUAGCUAGUUGGUGAGGUAAUGGCUCACCAAGGCUACGAUCCGUAACUGGUCUGAGAGGAUGAUCAGUCACACUGGAACUGAGACACGGUCCAGACUCCUACGGGAGGCAGCAGUGGGGAAUAUUGGACAAUGGGCGAAAGCCU
rnacentral:rRNA from 1 species